UACGAAGGGGGCUAGCGUUGUUCGGAAUAACUGGGCGUAAAGCGCACGUAGGCGGAUUUGUAAGUCAGGGGUGAAAUCCCGGGGCUCAACCUCGGAACUGCCUUUGAUACUGCAAGUCUGGAGUCCGGAAGAGGUGAGUGGAAUUCCUAGUGUAGAGGUGAAAUUCGUAGAUAUUAGGAAGAACACCAGUGGCGAAGGCGGCUCACUGGUCCGGUACUGACGCUGAGGCGCGAAAGCGUGGGGAGCAAACAGG
rnacentral:rRNA from 1 species